rnacentral:lncRNA from 1 species
GCAUUUACAAAGUUUUAUAGACAAACUUUCAACUGUUCCCAACUAAUCUAUCCUGGACAGCAAGCUCCUCGAUCCCUCCUCAAGCUUUGUUGUACUUCUUUUGAGUUCAAUUCUAUUCUAUGAUCUGGCCUUGAAACAACAGCCUCUUCUUCACGUCACAAGUACACUAGAGACCCAACUUCCUGCUGACCUCUCUAAGACUCUGGUCUUGGUCGAAGAAUUACUCUUCUUUCU